rnacentral:rRNA from 1 species
UACAGAGGUCUCAAGCGUUGUUCGGAUUCAUUGGGCGUAAAGGGUGCGUAGGUGGCGUCGUAAGUCGGGUGUGAAAUUUCGGAGCUUAACUCCGAAACUGCAUUCGAUACUGCGGUGCUUGAGGACUGGAGAGGAGACUGGAAUUUACGGUGUAGCAGUGAAAUGCGUAGAGAUCGUAAGGAAGACCAGUGGCGAAGGCGGGUCUCUGGACAGUUCCUGACACUGAGACGCGAAAGCGUGGGGAGCAAACAGG